ACCCUCUCAGGGUCACACCUGAAGAGUUUCCAGUAUUCUACCAGUCUCGACUACGGGAGGGCGAGUCAAGCAGAGACCUAUCCAUUCCAUUCCUAGCUUGGGUGGUGGCUAGCGAGUGGAAGGCCAUCUGCUCCAAGU